rnacentral:rRNA from 1 species
GAUGAACGCUGGCGGCGUGCUUAACACAUGCAAGUCGAGCGAACGGACGAGACGCUUGCUUCUCUGAUGUUAGCGGCGCACGGGUGAGUAACACGUGGAUCAUCCACUUAUCUGUCUGAGAUAACCUCGGGAAACCGGAUCUAACACCGGAUAAUAUUUUGAACCGCAUGGUUCAAAGGUGAAAGACGGCCUUGCUGGCUCUUAUCGAUGGUUCCGCGCUGCAUUAGCUAGUUGGUAAGGUAACGGCUUUCCAAGGCUACGAUGCAUAGCCGACCUGAUAGGGUGGUAGGCGGCACGGGAACUGGACCGCGGUCCAGACUCCUAAGAGAGGCAGCAGAAGGGAAUCUUCCGCAGUGGGCGAAAGCAUGACGGAACGGCGGCGCGUGAGUGAUAGAGAUCCUCGGAUCGGGAAACUCUGUUAUUAGUGGAGAACAUAUGUGUAAUUAGCUGUGCACAGCUUGACGGUACCUAGUCAGAAAGCCACGGCUAACUACGUG